CAAGCUGAACUCGGAGACGUUCGGCGUGGCCCUGGCGCGGCGCGGCCUGUGGCGCGGCCGCGGCGGCUGGCGCCACAACCCGCACAACCCGCACGUGCAGCCCAUGUCGUAUUUCCCCAGCUGGCGACCGAUGCGCGGCGGGCGCGGCCGGCCGCACCAGGGCCACCAGAACCACCAGAACCACCAGCCGCCCAGCCACGCGCAGCGGCCGCGCAACCAGCCCUCGCAGCCGCAGCAGCCCGCGCCCACCACUGCUGCCGCCAAGUAAGAGGAGCUGAGCUACGCGGGAAUUGAAUCGAAUAUCGAAGCUUUAUUUAUUGUCGCGAGGACUAAUCACAAAUGGAAAAGUAACGGAAAAGUGUGUCGGUGAUUAAAGUGUUUUAUAGAUGUAAAUUGAUGGAAAUGUUAAAGGAAGGAGAUUACUGCGGGAAGUUAUAUCGGAGUGAAUUAAGUUGAAGGACAUUGCUUUGGUGUGAUAGUGUUGUAUCCAAUAAUGGAAGGAGUAAGAAGGAAAUUCCCGUACGUGCGAGAUCGAACAAAUUGUCCAGGAGCGCUCGGCGCAGUAUGUUGUAAGAAUACGAGUGAUGGAGUGGAACUUUGGGCAAGCAUUGGCAUCUAUAAAUAAAUUGCAUGGUAAUGUCACAAGCUCACCGUCAGACAGAGAAAUUGUCAGGUGUUUGCGAGGCGACCGGAACGCCUUCCUGUACAUUGUAUCGAGGCUAUGUAGUUUUGAAGCCGACAUAGUAUAAUUGAAGACUUUAUUUAUAAACAUGCCCAAUUAAAAUAUAUAUUUUCCUCGAGCUUCGUUUGUGCGCAGUUUGUGCCUAAAGUUGUAAAACUUAGAUAAAUAUGAAUGUGUUUUAUUGUUUUCGAAGGUCAUUGCACUUCCACUAUUUUUUUAAACCUAGCAAUGACUAUACAGCAGCCCUACUUAUGUGUUAGUGAUAACAUGUUAGAAAAUUGUGAAGGGUUUAAUUUUACCGUUCUCAAAGUAGCAGCGGUUAGUCGUCACAGAUUAUAUGAGGUUAAAAAAGAGAUCUGCCAGAAGCAUGAUGAUGGUAAAAUUAGCUCUAAAUGUAUGAAAAUAAUUGGAUGACUUAGUGUUUUAUUGACUGUUUUAUUGUUAGUGAUAGAGUAAUCAAAAUGUGAUAGUAGGUCUGCUGUCUGCCGGCGGUGCCGCGCAUCUUACCAGACAUAGUAAAUGUUACGAUGAUCGUCGCCUCAUGUUUACGCUGUACUAGGUUUACCGCAGAUUCUUAUACUCAAAUAAAUCAAGUUGAAAGGACAGUUUCAUUUCGUGUUCAAUUGGUGAUUUUGUUACUUGGUCCUUCAGAAAUUAUUUUGCAAAAGUUGACAAUCAACAUUAUUAUAAACUAUUUGUAAAAAUCUGUAACUCAAAAACUGUACCUGGUGAUUGUAUUAAUAUGAAAUAUACAUUUACUACAAACUUCAA